rfam:Camelus ferus unplaced genomic scaffold scaffold955, whole genome shotgun sequence.
GAGGGUAUAGCUCAAGUGGUAGAGCACAUGCUUAGCAUACACAAGUUCCCGGGUUCAAUCCCCAGUACCUCCU